rnacentral:tRNA from 1 species
GGAGAGAUGGCUCAGUGGUUAAGAGCACUGACUGCUCUUCCAGAGGUCCUCAGUUCAAUUCCCAGCAACCACA